UACGUAGGGUGCAAGCGUUGCCCGGAUUUAUUGGGCGUGAAGGGCGCGUAGGCGGCUCUGCACGUUCGUUGUGAAAUCGCCCGGCUCAACUGGGCGGGGUCAGCGGAUACGGCAGAGCUUGAGCAAGCUAGGGGGCAAUGGAAUUCCCGGUGUAGUGGUGGAAUGCGUAGAUAUCGGGAGGAACACCUGCGGCGAAGGCGGGUAGCUGGGCCGACACUGACGCUGAGGCGCGAAAGCCAGGGGAGCGAACGGG
rnacentral:rRNA from 1 species